rnacentral:lncRNA from 1 species
UUCUGUACACAAUUUUAUCAUUUUUAUGCCCCACCUACGAUAGUAGAGGGGCAUUAUGUUUUCUGGUCUGUGCGUCCGUUCGUCCGUCUGUUCGUUCGUUCGUUCGUUCGUCCGUCUGUCCCGCUUCAGGUUAAAGUUUUUGGUCAAGGUAGUUUUUGAUGAAGUUGAAGUCCAAUCAACUUGAAACUUAGUAUACAUGUGCCCUAUGAUAUGAUCUUUCUAAUUUAAAUGCCAAAUUAGAGUUUUGACCCCAAUUUUACGGUUCACUGAAACAUAGAAAAUGAUAGUGCAAAUUUCAGGUUAAAGUUUUUGGUCAAGGUAGUUUUUGAUGAAGUUGAAGUCCAAUCAACUUGAAACUUAGUAUACAUGUGCCCUAUGAUAUGAUCUUUCUAAUUUAAAUGCCAAAUUAGAGUUUUGACCCCAAUUUUACGGUUCACUGAACAUAGAAAAUGAUAGUGCAAAUUUCAGGUUAAAGUUUUUGGUCAAGGUAGUUUUUGAUGAAGUUGAAGUCCAAUCAACUUGAAACUUAGUAUACAUGUGCCCUAUGAUAUGAUCUUUCUAAUUUAAAUGCCAAAUUAGAGUUUUGACCCCAAUUUUACGGUUCACUGAACAUAGAAAAUGAUAGUGCAAAUUUCAGGUUAAAGUUUUUGGCUUCAGGUUAAAGUUUUUGGUCAAGGUAGUUUUUGAUGAAGUUGAAGUCCAAUCAACUUGAAACUUAGUAUACAUGUGCCCUAUGAUAUGAUCUUUCUAAUUUAAAUGCCAAAUUAGAGUUUUGACCCCAAUUUUACGGUUCACUGAACAUAGAAAAUGAUAGUGCAAAUUUCAGGUUAAAGUUUUUGGCUUCAGGUUAAAGUUUUUGGUCAAGGUAGUUUUUGAUGAAGUUGAAGUCCAAUCAACUUGAAACUUAGUAUACAUGUGCCCUAUGAUAUGAUCUUUCUAAUUUUAAUGCCAAAUUAGAGUUUUGACCCCAAUUUUACGGUUCACUGAACAUAGAAAAUGAUAGUGCAAAUUUCAGGUUAAAGUUUUUGGCUUCAGGUUAAAGUUUUUGGUCAAGGUAGUUUUUGAUGAAGUUGAAGUCCAAUCAACUUGAAACUUAGUAUACAUGUGCCCUAUGAUAUGAUCUUUCUAAUUUAAAUGCCAAAUUAGAGUUUUGACCCCAAUUUUACGGUUCACUGAACAUAGAAAAUGAUAGUGCAAAUUUCAGGUUAAAGUUUUUGGCUUCAGGUUAAAGUUUUUGGUCAAGGUAGUUUUUGAUGAAGUUGAAGUCCAAUCAACUUGAAACUUAGUAUACAUGUGCCCUAUGAUAUGAUCUUUCUAAUUUUAAUGCCAAAUUAGAUUUUUACCCUAUUUCACGGUCCAUGGAACAUGGAAAAUGAUUGAGUGGGGCAUCCGUGUACUUUGGACACAUUCUUGUUUUCCCAUAAAUUU